rnacentral:rRNA from 1 species
CCUACGGGAGGCUGCAGUGAGGAAUAUUGGUCAAUGGGAGAGAUCCUGAACCAGCCAAGCCGCGUGAGGGAAGACGGCCCUAUGGGUUGUAAACCUCUUUUGUCGGAGAACAAAACCCGGGACGUGUCCCGGACUGCGUGUAUCCGAAGAAAAAGCAUCGGCUAACUCCGUGCCAGCCGCCGCGGUAAUACGGAGGAUGCGAGCGUUAUCCGGGUUUAGUGGGUUGAAAGGGUGCGUAGGCGGUCCGUUAAGUCAGCGGUAAAAAUGCGGGGCCCAACCCCGUCGAGCCGUUGAAACUGGCAGACUUGAGUGGGCGAGAAGUACGCGGAAUGCGCGGUGUAGCGGUGAAAUGCAUAGAUAUCGCGCAGAACUCCGAUUGCGAAGGCAGCGUACCGGCGCCAGACUGACGCUGAGGCACGAAAGCGUGGGGAUCGAACAGGAUUAGAUACCCUUGUAGUC